GAUGAACGCUAGCGGCAGGCCUAAUACAUGCAAGUCGAACGAUAGAGAGGAGCUUGCUCUUCUCGAAAGUGGCGCACGGGUGCGUAACGCGUAUGCAACCUACCUUGAUCAGGGGGAUAGCCUCUCGAAAGAGAGAUUAACACCGCAUAACAUUAUUUUGUGGCAUCACAUGAUAAUCAAAUACUUAUAGGAUCAAGAUGGUGCAUGCGUGACAUUAGCUAGUUGGGCGGGGUAACCGGCCCACCAAGGCUACGAUGUCGUAGGGAUCUGAGAGGAU
rnacentral:rRNA from 1 species